rnacentral:rRNA from 1 species
AUUGAACGCUGGCGGCAGGCCUAACACAUGCAAGUCGAGCGGAGCGGCGGACGGGUGAGUAAUGCUUAGGAAUCUGCCUGGUAGUGGGGGAUAACGUCCGGAAACGGGCGCUAAUACCGCAUACUAUCAGACGAGCCUAGGUCGGAUUAGCUAGUUGGUGGGGUAAAGGCCUACCAGGGCGACGAUCCGUAACUGGUCUGAGAGGAUGAACAGUCACACUGGAACUGGGACACGGUCCAGACUCCUACGGAGGGCAGAGGUGGGGAAUUUUGGACAAUGGGCGAAAGCCUGAUCCAGCCAGGCCGCGUGUGUGAAGAAGGUCUUCGGUUUGUAAAGCACUUUAAGUUGGGAGGCGUUACCAGCAGAAUAAGCACCGGCUAACUUCGUGCCAGCAGCCGCGGUAAUAC